UACGUAGGGUGCAAGCGUUAAUCGGAAUUACUGGGCGUAAAGCGUGCGCAGGCGGUUCGGAAAGAAAGAUGUGAAAUCCCAGGGCUUAACCUUGGAACUGCAUUUUUAAACUACCGGGCUAGAGUGUGUCAGAGGGGGGUGGGAUUCCACGUGUAGCAGGUGAAAUGCGUAGAGAUGAUGGAGGAACACCGAUGGCGAAGGCAGCCCCCUGGGAUAACACUGACGCCUCGAUGCACGAAAGCGUGGGGAGCAAACAGG
rnacentral:rRNA from 1 species